rnacentral:tRNA from 1 species
CCAUCGAUAGCUCAGUUGGUAGAGCGGAGGACUGUAGAUCCUUAGGUCGCUGGUUCGAAUCCAGCUCGAAGGA